UCGAGGAUCUUCGGCAAUGGACGCAAGUCUGACCGAGCGACGCCGCGUGUGGGAUGAAGGCCUUCGGGUUGUAAACCACUGUCAGUGGGGAGAAAAUUCAUAUGGGUUCUCUCAUAUGAUUGAUCUAUCCGCAGAGGAAGUGUGGGCUAAGUUCGUGCCAGCAGCCGCGGUAAGACGAACCACACAAACGUUAUUCGGAAUUACUGGGCUUAAAGGGUGCGUAGGCUGCGCAGAAAGUUGGGUGUGAAAUACCUCGGCUCAACCGAGGAACUGCGCCCAAUACUACUGUGCUUGAGGAAUACAGAGGUAAGCGGAACUUAGGGUGGAGCGGUGAAAUGCGUUGAUAUCCUAAGGAACACCGGUGGCGAAAGCGGCUUACUGGGUAUUUUCUGACGCUGAUGCACGAAAGCUAGGGGAGCGAACGGGAUUAGAUACCCCCGUAGUCC
rnacentral:rRNA from 1 species